rnacentral:rRNA from 1 species
GAAUUUUCCGCAAUGGGCGAAAGCCUGACGGAGCAAUACCGCGUGAGGGAGGAAGGUCCUUGGAUUGUAAACCUCUUUUAUCAGGGAAGAAGUUCUGACGGUACCUGAUGAAUAAGCAUCGGCUAACUCCGUGCCAGCAGCCGCGGUAAUACGGAGGAUGCAAGCGUUAUCCGGAAUUAUUGGGCGUAAAGCGUCCGUAGGUGGUUAUGCAAGUCUGCCGUUAAAGAAUGGAGCUUAACUCCAUAGGAGCGGUGGAAACUGCAAGACUAGAGUACAGUAGGGGUAGCAGGAAUUCCCAGUGUAGCGGUGAAAUGCGUAGAUAUUGGGAAGAACAUCGGUGGCGAAAGCGUGCUACUGGGCUGAAACUGACACUGAGGGACGAAAGCUAGGGUAGCGAAAGGGAUUAGAUACCCCCUGUAGU